rnacentral:lncRNA from 1 species
ACUGAGUUAAUAGGUUAGUCCCAAAAAAGAUAUAAAAUCAAAAAUUAUAGAUACGUUGGAGACGUAUCAAGCAUCCCCAAGCUUAACUCCUGCUCGUCUUCGAGUAGGGAAGUGAUAAAGAAUGAAUUUUUGAUGUUGCAUGCUACCUAGCAUAGUUGUCCUUUGUAACUUCUCCACGUGACAUGAAUGUUCAGAUCCGUUAGAUUCAAAACAAUAGUUUGCUAUUGACGUGGAAACAAUAAUAAUUCAAGCAAACUAGCAACGUAAUCAUGAACUUUCAAAAUAACAAGGCCAAAAGAAAGUUGUCCCUACAAAAUCAUAUAGUAUGGCUAUGCUCUAUCAUCAUUGCACAACGAAUUUAAAUCAUGCACAACCCCGGUAUUGGCCAAGUAAUUGUUUCACACCUUUACUUUCUCAAACCUUUUCAACUCUCACGCAAUACAAGAGCGUGAGCCAUGGUUUUAGCACUAUAAGUGGUGUGGAGUGUGGUGGAGGUUGCAAGACAAAAAAGGAGAAGAUGAUCACAUUAACUAGGCAUAUCAAUAAGCUGUGGAGAUGCUCAUCAAUAGAUAUCAAUGUGAAUGAGUAGGGAUUGCCAUACAAAUGAUGCACUAGAGCUAGGAGUAUGUGAAAGCUCUUAAAGAAAACUAGUGGGUGUGCAUCCAACUUGCUUGCUCACGAAGACCUAAGGCAAUUUUGAGGAAGCCCAUCAUAGGAAUAUACAAGCCAAGUUAUAUAAUGAAAAUUUCCCACUAGCUAUAUGGUGGUGACAAAAACGAGAGACUCUCAAUCAUGAAGAACAUGGUGCUUAAUAUGCACAAGUGUGGAAAGGUGGUAGCAUUGUCCCUUCUCUCUUUUUCUCUCAUAUUUUUUGGGUGGGCUCUUUGGCCUCUAUUUUUUCGUGGGCAUCUUUGGCCUCUUUUAAUUCCUCACAUGGGACAAUGCUCCAUCAAUGAUGAUCAUCGCACUUUCAACUCAACACUUAGAGCAACGAUGACUCUAUAUGGAAUGCCUUCGGUAGUGUACCGUGACAAUGAUCUAGCAUGGCAUAGACAUUAAUGGAAACAUCAUGCUAGCUAUCUUACGAUCAUGCAAUGGCAAUGUAGACGUGGUGGCACAUGUCAUGGUGGUAGUUGCAUGGCAAUAUAUCUCGGAAUGACUUUGAAAAAGCCAUAGUAGGUAGGUAUGGUGGCUGUUUUGAGGGAGGCUAAUGGUGGGUUUUGUGCACCGUCGAAAGUUGCACGACACUAAAAAGAUAGUGAUGGUGGGAGGUGAAAGUGCAUCUAUUCCAUGGACUCAACAUUAGUCAUGAAUAAAUCAUAUACUUGUUGCAAAAGUUUUAUUAGUAAUCAAAACAAAGCAUUCAACGCAUACUCCUAGGGGAAGGGUUGGUAGGUAUAAACCAUCACGCGAUCCCGACCGCCACGCAAAGGAUGACAAUCAAAAGACUAAUGAUGCUCAGAUUUCAUCACAUAGCGCUUCACCAUGCAUGCAUGCUAUGGGAAUCACUAACUUCAACACAAGUAUUUCUAGAUCCACAACACCUUACUAGCAUGACUUCAAUAUUACCAAAACCACAACUCAAAACUAAUUGAGAUGAAUCAAACUUCUCUAACUAUUCAAUGCACAUGAAGGUGGAAGUUUUCGUAUCCCUUUGGAUAACUACCCCUUUUGAGACUACUUUAAAAUCAUAGAUCAACUACCAAGCCACGCACCACUGCGCUCUAAAAGAUAUAAGUGAAGGACAUAGAGCAAAAGUAUUUAGCUCAAAAGAUAUAAGUGAAGCACAUGUGAGCUGAAUUGUCUACCAAAAGAUAUAAGUGAAGCUCGACAAAAUCACGGUGAGUGCAUGUCUCUCUCUCUAGGUGUGCAACAAGGAAGAUUGUGACACAACAAAAAUAAAAGACUCCUACAAUACAAGACGCUCCAAGCAAAACACAUAUCAUGUGGUGAAUAAAAAUAUAGCCCCAAGUAACGUUAACGAUGGAUUGAAGACGAGAGAGGGGAUGCCUUCCCGGGGCAUCCCCAAGCUUAGGCUUUUACGGCAUCCUUGAAUCUCUUGGGGUGCCUUGGGAAUCCGCAAGCUUGAGAUCUUGCCACUCUUUAUCUCUUUGUCCAUAAGAACUUCAGCCAAAACUUGAAAACUUCACAACACGAAACUUAAACAGAAACUCGUGAUAACAUUAGUAUGAGAAAGCAAACCACCACUUCCUUAGGUACUGUAGCAAACUUAAAUUCUACUUAUGCUGAUGUUGGGUUACUGUAUUUUCAAUCUUCCAUGGCUAAUACCCUCCGAUACUAUCCAUAGUUUCAUCAAAAUAAGCAACCAACAUAACAAAAACAGAAUCUGUUAAUAGCAGACCAGUCUAUAGCAAUCUGUAUAUUUCGUAUACCUCUGGUACUUCAAAAAUUCUGAAAAAUUACGACAGUCUGAAUAAAUUGCAUAGAAAUCAGCAGCAAAAAUAAUCAACUCAAAAUCUCUUACAUAAAAAAAUGAAAGUUCUUUUCGUGAGCAGAAAGUUUCUGUCUUUCCCAGCAUGACCAAACGAUCAUCCCCAAGACUAAUCAUAACGGUUUUGCUUGGCACAAACGCAAAAAUAAACACAAAAGACACAAUCAUAAUAGAAUUAUGAUGGUGUGGAGAAAACCAAACAGGAAGCAAAAAAGCAAAGAAAAAUUUAUUCAUUGGGUUGCCUCCCAACAAGAGCUAUCGUUUAACACCCUUAGCUAGGCAUUGAUUUCAAUGAUGCUCACAUAAAAGGUAAGGAUUGAAACACAACAAGAGCAUCAUGGAGCAAAUGGCUAGCACAUUUAAGUCUAACCCACUUCAUAUGCAUAGGGAUUUUGUGAUCAAACAAUUUAUUGGAGCAAGAAUCAACUAGCAUAGGAAGGCAAAACAAGCAUAGCUUCCAAAAUUUCAACAUAUGGAGAGGAAGCUUGAUACUAUUGCAAUAAGUAGAAGAAUGUGAUCCUCUCUCAUAGUAAUUUUCGGUAGCAUCAUGAAUGAAUUCAACAAUAUAACCACCACCUAAAGCAUUCUUUUCAUGAUCUACAAGCAUAGAAAUUUUACUACUCUCCACAUAAGGAAAUCUAUUCUCAAGAGUAGUAGUGGGAGUAUCGUAAAAGACUUGAGCACUACAAAUUGUAUCCACAAUGAAAAAGCAAGGUUUAGCAAAAGGGUUCUCGAGAGUAUGACAAGUUUUAUCAUCCCUCUUCUUUAAAGCAUAAGUAUCCUCACAAUAAUCAUCAUAGAUAGGGGACAUGCUUUCAUCAAAAUAAUUUUGAUCAUUCAAAGUGGAAGAACUAAAAAGAUCAUCUUCGUCAAAUAUAGCAUCCCCAAGCUUGUGGCUUUGCAUAUCAUUAGCAUCAUGGGUAUUCAAAGAGUUCAUGCUAAUAACAUUGCAAUCAUGCUCAUCAUUCACGUAUUCUAUGCCAAGCAUUCUAUGUAAUUCUUCUUUCGGCACUUGAGCACAAUUUUCCUCCCCAUCAUGCUCACGAAAGACACUGAAAAGAUGGAGCAUAUGAGGCAUCCUCAAUUCCUUUUUUUGUAGUUUUCUAGCGAAAGAACAAGAAACAAAAAAGAUUCGAUUGCAAGAUCUAAAGAUAUACCUUCAAGCGCUAACCUCCCCGGCAACAGCGCCAAAAAGAGCUUGAUGUCUACUACGCAACCUUCUCCUUGUAGACAUUGUUGGGCCUCCAAGUGCAGAGGGUUGUAGGACAGUAGCAAUUUUCCCUCAAGUGGGUGACCUAAGGUUUAUCAAUCCGCGCGAGGCGUAGGAUGAAGAUGGUCUCUCUCAAGCAACCCUGCAACCAAAUAACAAAGAGUCUCUUGUGUCCCCAACACACCUAAUACAAUGGUAAGUUGUAUAGGUGCAUUAGUUCGGCGAAGAGAUGGUGAUACAAGUGCAAUAAGGAUGGUAGAUAUAGGUUUUUGUAAUCUGAAAUUACAAAAACAGCAAGGUAACAAAUGGUAAAAGUGAGCACGAACGGUGUUGCAAUGCGUGGAAACAAGGCCUAGGAUUCAUACUUUCACUAGUGAAGUUCUCUCAACAAUGAUAACAUAAUUGGAUCAUAUAACUAGCCCUCAACAUGUAACAAAGAGUCACUCCAAAGUCACUAAUAGCAGGGAACAAACGAAGAGAUUAUUGUCGGGUACGAAACCACCACAAAGUUAUUCUUUCUGAUCGAUCUAUUCAAGAGUCUGUAGUAAAAUAACACGAAGCUAUUCUUUCCGUUCGAUCCAUCAUAGAGUUCGUACUAGAAUAACACCUUAAGAUACAUAUCAACCAAGACCCUAAUGUCACCUAGAUACUCCAUUGUCACCUCAAGUAUCCGUGGGCAUGAUUAUACAAUAUCCAUCACAUAAUCUCAGAACAUGUAUUCAACCAACACAUAGAACUUCAAAGAGUGCCCCAAAAUUUCUACCAGAGAGUCAAACGUGUGCCAACCCGUGUGCAUAGGUUCCCAAUGUCACGAACCCGCAAGUUGAUCACCAAAACAUACAUCAAGUACUCACAUGAAUCCAACGUGUGCCAACCCAUAAGCAUAGGUUCCCAAUGUCACAAACCCGCAAGUUGAUCACAACAGAUAGACACGUGCAAGACAUACAUCAAGUGUCCUCAAAGUCUCAAUCCGAUAAGAUAACUCCAAAGGGGAAACUCAAUUCAUUACAAGAGGGAGAGGGGGAAGAAUAUCAUAAAAUCCAACUAUAGUAGCAAAGCCCAUGGUACAUCGAGAUCAAGACAUCUCAAGAACACAAGAGAGAGAUCAAACACAUAGCUACUAGUACAUACCCUCAGCCCCGAGGGAGAACUACUCCCUCCUCGUCAUGGAGAUCGCCGAGAUGAUGAAGAUGGCCACCGGAGAUGGAUUCCCCCUCCGGCAGGGUGCCAGAACAGGCUCCAGAUUGGUUUUUGGUGGCUACAGACGCUUGCGGCGGCGGAACUCCCGAUCUAGGUUUCUUUCUUGGGGUUUCUGAAUUUAUAGGAUUUUUUUGUGGUGGAAUUGCGUUAGUUGGGCCCACGAGGAGGUCACAAGCCUGUGCGCCACCACCGGGGGGGUGGUGGCGGAGUGAGGGCUUGUGACUCCCUCGUGGCCCAUAUGGCCUUCUCCCAAAGCUUCGGGGGUCUCUUUUGGUCCAAAAAAAUCAUCGUAAAGUUUCAUUCCAUUUGGACUUCGUCUGAAAAUGGGCCAAAAACACGAAAAAAACAGAAACUGGCACUUGGCACUGAGUUAAUAGGUUAGUCCCAAAAAAGAUAUAAAAUAUCGUAUUCAUGCAUAUAAAACAUCCAAAGUUGACAAGAUAAUAGCAUGGAACCAUAAAAAAUUAUAGAUACGUUGGAGACGUAUCACUAGGCAGCUGCUAUUUUGGAGUUGAUGCUCUAAGCUCACUCACACACACAUACUUAUCCCUCAGACCAAGAUCAAGGCUACUAGUCAGCCCAGCACUGGAGCAUCGGGAAGGCCGAUGCACAAUGUGUAGGUCAAGCUAUAGGAGGAGUAUUUGCUGAAGAAGGAGAUAGUUGGACCCUGAGAUCAAGGUAAUAUCCAUCUCCUAAGGAUCUUGUGGCUCAAACCUACGCUAAUAUUAUCCUGGUGGAUCCAACAACGGCAUCAAAGGCACUAGCAUCAAGUUUGAGCCCUAUCUAGCUCAAAUUCAUGUUUGGCUUAUUAUGAUUAAGUUGAAGAUCAAGUAGCCCUUCCAGUUCUUGCUUGAUCCAUUAAGUUUAUGGUUAGAUUCAUGUUGUUCCUCAUGUUCAAGCAUGGCUUGAAUUUAUUUAAGACCUUUAAGGAACAUAUCAGUAUUGAUUUGUUGUACUUAAGUUGUGUUUAUGGUAUAUAUCAAGCAGUUAUUCUUGUCCAUGCUUGAUCUAAUUAUUUAGCCCUAAAGUAAUUAAAGUUCUAGCCCUAACAGAUCAAGUGAGUAUCAAGGGUCUCAUUUAAUGAUGAUUCAAAGUGGGGAAUAAUGCAUUUACUCAAAAUCCCCAAAUCCCGAAAUCCUAAAUUACGAAAUCCCCAAAAAAAUUAUGAACCCUAGCCCAAAAUCUAACGAACUAUAGGCUAUGUGUGCUCACUUGAAGGGUUUUCGUUGUCAUAUGCAUGUUGUGGCGACACCGGGUCCACCAAUUGAUGCCGCUCACCGUCGCUACUGUGCAGGGAUGCAUGCGCGCGCGGCUCUGGUGCGGGAACGCGGCAAGCACCGCUCGACGGGGCCUCGCGCGGACUGGAGCCGCACGGGACUCCGGCGAAAGGAGCUCACCGGCGUCAGCGCCCUCCUCUCUUGCGGUUGGUGACGCCGCCGCGUCGCUCUCUCGUCCUCGCGAUGUGGGAGCAGAAGGGGAGGGAGGCUAAUGGGGAUAAGGUUAGGGGAUGCUGGGCUUCGUGGUUGGCUUUCGGCCAAGCCAGCGCCAGCCGGGCCGGCAAGCCGUCUCGGCCCAGGCUGACCUGAAGGCUGGGGAGCACGGGGAGCUGGCUGGGCCGUCUCGCUCAGUUCAGCAGCAGGAAAUUUUAGCUGGAAAAAAAUAAAGAAAAUUCUCUGUUAAGGGCAAAAAUAAACUUAGGAAAAAUGCGAGAUAUUUUUUCUGAUAAUGUUCACAUUUUGUGCAAUAAAGUGAGCAUUUAGGGCUAAAUUUUAUGCAUAAAUUUUUAUGGUUAUUUUUGGUAAUUUAAUUUUUUAGGAAUGAUAGUUUUUGUUAUAUUUUAAUGUGUCAUGCCAUGCCAUGUUUAAUUUGGUGCAAAUUAAUUAUGUUAAGUUAUUUUUCAAUUAUGGCAUUUUUAUUUUGAAGAUGAAAAAUAUUGUGGUUAUUAUAGAAUAAUGAUUCCGCUGCGAAAUAAAGUUUAAUGGAUCCCCAGAUUAAGUGUGGUUUUAUGCUUGGCCAUUCUCACCAAAGUUGUUUGACGGGCAUUCGAACCACCAAAUUCUUUUGUUGAUCUGUUUCACUUGUGGCCAAAGCUGAUGUGAACCGGGUUAGUAGAAGAAACUAAUGAAGUGAGAAUCAUUAUAGUGUGGCUUUUAUUUAUUAAUUUGGCCAAAGCUAAUUGAUGAAUAUUUGUUCACAAAGUUUUGUUGUUCAUUUUCAUCUCCGUCCAAAGCUGAUUUGAACAUGAUCAAUAAAAUUUAAAUAUGAUGAUGAUGAUGCUUACUAAAGCAUUUUGAAUUUUCUUUUGCAGCACCUAAUGUCUCUCAUAUUGCUGGAAUGCUUAAUGGCAUUGACCAACUUAAUGGUAGAAAUUAUGCUACAUGGAAAGAGAAACUUGAAAUAACGAUGGCCUUACUCAAUAUUGAUUAUGCUCUCCUUAAUGAUCCUCGUGAGACACCUAAAUAAAAUGAUGAAAUUAUGAUGCCCUCAAGAAGGAUUAUGAGGUUAUGAAGGUUAAGUGGGAUGACUGUAAUCGCAAAUGCCUUAUGAUGAUAAAGGGUUCCAUUACAAAGUAUGAGGGGAGCCCUUCCUGACUGUGAAAUGGCUAAGGGGUAUUUUGCGAAAAUUGAGCAUCAGUUUAAGGGAUCUUCUAAGGUUUAUGCAACAAGUCUCAUUAGACGACUAAUUGAUGAAAAGUAUGAUCCCACUGGAAGUCUUCGAGAGCAUAUCAUGAAGAAAUGCAACAUGGUUGCCAAACUUAAGACUAUGGAAAUGGAAAUCUCCGAUGGUUUUCUUGUCCAUUUUAUUAUGUCAUCCUUGCCCCAAGAGUUCUCUCCAUUUGUGAUUAACUAUAAUGCAACGGAUGUGAAAUGGAGCAUUGAUGAAAUGAUGGCACGCUGUGUGCAAGAAGAAGAAAGGCUAAAGGCUGACAGAAUUGAGCAUGCUAAUCAGUUCAAGGUUUCAAAAAAUAAUAAGCUCAAUAAAUUUGUGAAAAAUUAUAUGAAUCCUAAGCCUAAUAAAUUUAAGGAUAAAGGCAGUCUUCCAAAAGCUCUCAACAAAAGAAGCCUGAAAAAGCUCCUAACAAGGAAGGAAAAGAUCCCGAUGGAUGCCACUUUUGUAGAAAAAGUGGGCAUAAGCAAAAGGAUUGCUUUGGUUUUAAGAGAUGGAUCAACAAUAAAGGUAGUGAUGUAAUUACUUUUGUUGAAGAAUCCUUUUAUGUUAAUUAUGCCACCAACACUUGGUGGAUUGAUUCUGGUGCAACGAUUCACAUUUCAAAUUCGUUGCAAGGAUUCCAUAUGAGGAGGACCCUAAAAAGGGGGAAAGAACCAUUAGAGUUGCUAAUGGUGUUGAAGUUGACAUUGAGGCACUUGGAGAUUUUACUCUCACACUUCAUACCGGCUUCAAGAUUCUACUACAUGACGUUCUUUAUGUCCCCUCGAUGAAAUGGAAUUUAGUUUCCGUUUCAUGCUUAGAUGAUGACGGUUAUGUAUAUCACUUUGGGAAUAAACAAUGUAUAAUUAUGUAUAGUAGUAAUAAUGUUGGUCUUGCCUUGAGACAAGACAAACUUUAUGUAAUUUCCCUUUGUGAUGAUAUAAAUAACGUGGGUUCCACCUCGAAUGUGAAUGUCAGUACCAAACGCAAACGAGAUAAUAAUGAGACUUCUUGAAAUUAUGGCACUAUCGGUUAGGCCAUAUUUCGAGGGGGGGAGAUUGAGCGUCUCAUUAAGGAUCAAGUUCUUCCUUCUCUCAAUUUUUCAGAUGCAGAUGUUGAUCAUUGUAUCGACUGCAUAAAAGGAAAAUAUGCCAAGAAAAUUAAGAAAGGUGCAAACCGAAGCACGGGAGUUUUGGAAUUAAUUCACACAGAUAUAUGUGGUCUGUUUAAUGUGAGAUCGGUGGACGGUUUUAAUUCCUUCAUAACGUUCACCAAUGAUUUAUCCCGCUAUGGAUAUAUUUAUCCCAUUAAAGAAAGAGCACAAUCAUUAGACAAGUUUAAGAUUUUCAAAGCUGAGGUUGAAAAUCAAAGUAACAAAAGGUUUAAAGUUGUAAGAUCUGAUCGUGGUGGUGAGUACUACGGCAGACAUACUACUUAUGGCCAAAUUCCUGGACCAUUUGCAAAAUAUCUAUAGGAAAAUGGCAUUAUGGCCCAGUAUUCAGCACCAGGCGAACCUCGGCAAAAUGGGGUGGCUGAAAGGCGGAACCGCACUCUUAUGGAUAUGGUGCGGAGUAUGUUAAGCCACUCCAGUUUGCCGAUAAAUUUAUGGAUGGAAGCCCUUAAGAGAGCAACAUAUAUUAUCAACAGGGUUCCCAGUAAAUCGGUGCCUAAAACACCAUAUGAGUUAUGGACUUGGAGAAAACAAACCCUGGAUUAUUUUCAUGUAUGGGGUUGUCCAGCUGAAGUAAGGAUUUUCAAUCCAAUUUUGAGAAAAUUAGACCCCAAGACAAUGAGUUGUCAUUUUUUAGUUAUCCCGACAAAUCUAAAGCAUAUCGGUUUUAUUGUCCAAAUGAGACAACUAAAUUUGUUGAAACAAGACACGUUGUGUUCUUGGAAAAUGAUAUGAUGAGGGGGAGCAUGACACCCCAGGAAAUAAUUUUGGAGGGAAAACGGGAAUAUGUCCCGACUCCAAUUAUUCAAGAACCUAUUUUCCCGGUGUCUGCUGAUAUUGCACCUCGCGCUGAAAAGAUCAUUAAGCAACACCUGCUGAGACUCCUGUGACUACUUUAGACGUCACACCUCAUGAUAUGUCUGUUGGAAGUUCUCAACAGCCUCAAGUUAUUGAUGAUGUGCCAAUUAAUGAUCCUCUCAGAAGGUCACAACGGACUAGGAAACCUGCUAUUCUUGAUGAUUGUUUCACUUACAUGAGCGAAGAUAUGAAUGAGUCGGUGUUGGACAACGAUCCUACAUCGUUUAAGGAAGCUAUGUAGAGUGAAUUUUCGUCUGAAUGGCUUAAUGUUAUGAAAGAUGAAAUGAAGUCCAUGAGUACUAAUGAAGUACGGGACUUAGUAGAAAUUCCCAAAGGAUUCACAACAGUUGGAUGCAAAUGGGUCUACAAGACCAAACGUGACUCCAAAGGGAAUAUCGAAAGGUUUAAAGCAAGACUUGUGGCAAAGGGUUUCACUCAAAGAAAAGAGAUUGAUUAUAAAGAAACAUUUUCGCCCAUCUCUUCUAAAAACUCAUUCAGGAUAAUUAUGGCACUUGUGGCCCAUUAUGAUCUGGAGAUGCAUCAGAUGGAUGUCAAAAUGGCAUUUCUAAAUGGCGACUUAAGUGAGAAUGUAUACAUGGCAUAACGAGAAUGUUCUGUUGUGGAAGGAAAUGAACAUUUAGGAUGUCAUCUCAAGAAGUCCAUCUAUGGCUUGAAACAAGCGUCAAGAGAAUGGUAUCUCAAGUUUGAUGAAGUAAUAAGUAAAUUUGGCUUUGAAGAGAAUAAAGUGGACAAUUGUGUUUAUGUCAAGUUCAGGGGGAGUAAUUUUAUCUUACUGAUAUUGUAUGUUAAUGACAUACUUUUAGCCACCGGUGACAAAAAUAUGCUGCUGGAAACUAAGAGGUUUUUAUCCUCAAAAUUUUAUAUGAAGGAUCUCGGUGAAGCAGGUUAUGUUUUAGGAAUUGAAAUUCACCGAGAUAGAUCCAGAGGGAUCUUGGGGCUGUCUCACAGAGCAUAUGUUGAAAAGGUACUGAAAAAGUACAAUAUGCAUAAGCGCUCAUCCUCGCCCUGCUCCUGUUGUUAAGGGCGAUAAAUUUGGGACUUUUAAGUGCCCAAGAAAUAAUUAUGAAUAUGCGCAGAUGAAGUCAAUUCCAUAUGCCUCAAUUGUAGGAUGCAUUAUGUAUGCACAAGUGUGCACUCGCCCUGAUUUAGCAUUCAUGACCGAGAUGCUUGGCAUAUAUCAGUCUAAUCCAAGUCUGGAUCACUAGAAGGCUGCUAAGUAAGUCUUGCGUUAUUUGCAAGGCACUAAAGGCCUCAUGCUUACAUCUAAGAAAUCUGAUAACCUCGAGGUGGUGGGUUGUUCAGAUGUUGAUUUUGCGGGGUGUGUUGAUACUACGAAAUACACGUCAGGUUAUGUUUUCACCCUCGCAAAUGGAGCUAUAUCGUGGAAAAGCUCUGAACAAACUGUCACUGCAUCAUCGACAAUGCAGGCAGAAUUUGUGGCAUGUUUUGAGGCUACCGGACACGCAGUAUGGAUGAAGAAUUUUAUCCCGGGAUUGAGAGUGAUUGAUAGCAUUUCCAGGCCAAUCACACUCUACUGCGAUAAUCAACCCGCAGUGAUAUUUUCGAGUAACAACAAGUCAAGUGAUGCUGCCAAGCACAUUGACAUCAAGUUUCUUAUUGUGAAAGACAGAGUUCAGGAUCAGACAAUUAAUGUCAAAUACAUCAAUACUAAGUCGAUGUUAGCGGAUCCGCUCACGAAAGGCUUACCACCCAGUGUUUUCAGAGAGCACGUUACCCGUAUUUGUUUGGUUGAAAGCUUUUGAUCCUCGCAAAGUUGGGACUGUUAUGACACCAUCUCCCCGAAUGGGCUCGUUUUGAGAUCGAAUGGGAACCAUAGUCACUUGGUUCAAUAGUACUUAAUUGACCGUUGCAAUCUAUUGUCUUGAUGUACCAUUUUAUCAAGAGAUGAGCCUCUAAUGUUUGUAAUGUUUAUGAUGUUUAUGUAAAGGAUUAUGCAAAUUAAGUUGAUGGUUUAUGUGAAUGAAGCUUAUGGAGCUCAUAAGUAUAAGAAGUUUCAUUUUGAUAUGGAAUGAUGUAUCAUAGUCACUGGUUCAGUGGUACUUAACUGACCAUUGCAAUUUUUCGUCUUGAUACAUUAUUUUGUUAAAAAGUGAACUUAUAAGUUUAGCCUUACGAUCAAGGGGGACAAUGUUGGAUACUAUAAUGAUCUUAAAGCCUAAAGUGUAGCCAUUAUGUUUUAAUGAUAAAGGUGAAGAUUGUAUGAAAAUAUCUAAAAGCUACAGUAGGUGCCCUCUCAUCAGCCAGCUACUCUGAUGAGCUGCCCUCUCAUCAGCCAGCUGGUGCCUGUCCCCCUGUGCACAGUGCUAAUUUUAAGAUAAAAGGGAGAGGAGAGAACGGCAGCUAGGCAGCUGCUAUUUUGGAGCUGCUGCUCUAAGCUCACUCACACACACAUACUUAUCCCUCGGAUCAAGAUCAAAGCUACUGAUCAGCCCAGCACUGGAUUAUCGGGACGGCCAGUGUACAAUCUGCAGAUCAAGCUGCAGGAGCAGUAUUUGCUGA